UACAGAGGGGGCAAGCGUUGUUCGGAAUUACUGGGCGUAAAGGGCGCGUAGGCGGCCUGUUAAGUCGAACGUGAAAUCCCCGGGCUCAACCCGGGAACUGCGUCCGAUACUGGCAGGCUUGAAUCCGGGAGAGGGAUGCGGAAUUCCAGGUGUAGCGGUGAAAUGCGCAGAUAUCAGGAGGAACACCGGUGGCGAAGGCGGGUCUCUGGGCCGAUACUGACGCUGGAGGAGCGAAAGCGUGGGGAGCGAACAGGAUU
rnacentral:rRNA from 1 species